ensembl:lncRNA
GAAAAUUUGAGCAUUACCUAACUGCCUAUUUAGAUUUGGGCUUUGGACUGAUGUGUUGAGGGAAAUAAAUAUUCGUAAUUUCAAAUUUCCUCGUUUUCUGAGUUAUAACAAACAAACAUUACAAGGAUUUACCGAUAAAUGAUGACUCCAGUGUUUGCCAGGCCUGAGUGUGACGUAAUAUUCUACAUAAAACCCCGCCUUUUCCUUCGUCACGUCCUCUUGCCGUUGGUGUCUUCUCGUCGAGACACAUCUCCACAACAUGAGAGCAAAGGUAAGGAAUGUCGCAUUAUUUAUUUUUCAGGAUUUACAUAGGAAGCUAACGUUGCAUAGCUAACGUUACGUGCGUCACCAGCUAAUGCAACCGUAGCCUACGAAAAGUUUCGAUAUCUUGUUGCCUUAGUUUCAUACAACACCAGGUGAUUUGUUCCAGGUAGCCUUUUCUUGUAAAAACUGGCUUGUGAAAUAAGAGCUGCAUAGUGGCAGUGUAGGCAGACGUUGUUAGCCAUUAUGCACCAAACUAGCAUGGUGUAGUCGGUUUGCUAGCUAAACAUAUUUACAAACACACGUGGGUAUGUUGGAAUAUACAUGGACAGUUAUCUAUUAGUGAUAAUUUGACCAAUGUAGUCAUCAGUUGCCUGCCUCAUUACAGGCAAUAUGCUGAAUUUAGUCCUGCUUGACUGUUAAAAUCACGUGCGGCUUCUAAUGGUUGUCUUUGUUUUCACAGUGGAGGAAGAAGCGUAUGCGCAGACUGAAGCGUAAAAGGCGAAAGAUGAGGCAGAGGUCCAAGUAGACUGACCCCUCUCCUGCAGCUGUGAGUCCCGUCCCCACUGCACCAGUCAAGUUUCUGCAAACAUUCUCCACGUUCUCUGAAAGGGUGCCUUGGAGGAGGAAGGGCAACAACACCAAUGUCUUCAACAGAACUGCCUGACAUUCUACAGUUUGCAUCAAGAGUUUCGUUUCGGGGCUUGGAGCUGGAAGAUUGUGGGGAAUUAAGGACAUUUCUUAUGUUUUGGGGUUCACUCUGGACUUGUCACCAUCUAUCCAGCACAGCUGACGUGCUCAUGUAAAGACCAUAAUAAAGCUCUGGUUUAUACACUUAACUA